AGCAUUCGCACUUGUGAUACCUCCAGCAAGCUUCUCAACUCACCUUCACAGGCUUACACAACGCUCCUCUACCGCUCAUCUUACGAUGAACCCGUAGCUUCGGUACCCUGGUUUGAGCCCCGUUACAUCUUCCGCGCAGGCGGUCUCUUAAGUCUGAUGUGAAAGCCCACGGCUCAACCGUGGAGGGCCAUUGGAAACUGGGGGACUUGAGUGUAGGAGAGGAAAGUGGAAUUCCACGUGUAGCGGUGAAAUGCGUAGAUAUGUGGAGGAACACCAGUGGCGAAGGCGACUUUCUGGCCUAUAACUGACGCUGAGGCGCGAAAGCGUGGGGAGCAAACAGGAUUAGAUACCCUGGUAGUCCACGCUGUAAACGAUGAGUGCUAGGUGUUAGGGGUUUCGAUACCCUUAGUGCCGAAGUUAACACAUUAAGCACUCCGCCUGGGGAGUACGGCCGCAAGGCUGAAACUCAAAGGAAUUGACGGGGGCCCGCACAAGCAGUGGAGCAUGUGGUUUAAUUCGAAGCAA
rnacentral:rRNA from 1 species